AAACCAGCUCCCCGAGUGGUCGGGAUGCUUAUUGGGCUUAAAGCGUCCGUAGCCGGGCUGGUAAGUCUCUGGUCAAAUCCGGCGGCCCAACCGUCGGAUUGCUAGAGAUACUACCAGCCUUGGGGGCGGAAGAGGCCGAGGGUACCACCGGGGUAGGGGUGAAAUCCUUUAAUCCCGGUGGGACCACCAGUGGCGAAGGCGCUCGGCUGGGACGCGCCCGACGGUGAGGGACGAAACCCAGGGGAGCGAACCGGAUUAGAUACCCUAGUAGUCC
rnacentral:rRNA from 1 species